CGGGGUGUAGCGAAGCCUGGUAUCGCGCGGCCUUUGGGUGGCCGAGAUCGUCGGUUCAAAUCCGGCCACCCCGA
rnacentral:tRNA from 1 species